rnacentral:rRNA from 1 species
AGCAGCCGCGGUAAUUCCAGCUCCAAUAGCGUAUAUUAAAGUUGUUGCAGUUAAAAAGCUCGUAGUUGAAUUUCGGGAUCAAUAUAUCGGUCGUGCCUUUGGUACGUACUGGUAUCAUUGAUUUCUCCCUUCUGACGAAUCAUGAUGUCAUUAAUUUGGUGUUAUGAGGAGUUAGGACUGUUACUUUGAAAAAAUUAGAGUGUUUAAAGCAGGCAUUAGCUUGAAUACAUUAGCAUGGAAUAAUGAAAUAGGACGUUUGACCCUAUUUUGUUGGUUUCUAGGAUCGACGUAAUGAUUAAUAGGGAUAGUUGGGGGCAUUAGUAUUCAAUUGUCAGAGGUGAAAUUCUUGGAUUUAUUGAAGACUAACUACUGCGAAAGCGUUUGCCAAGGAUGUUUUCAUUAAUCAAGAACGAAAGUUAGGGGAUCGAAGACGAUCAGAUACCGUCGUAGUCUUAACCAUAAACUAUGCCGACUAGGGAUCGGAUGAUGUUAAUUUUAUAAUGACUCAUUC